rnacentral:misc_RNA from 1 species
GAUGAAGAACGCAGCGAAAUGCGAUAAGUAAUGCGAAUUGCAGAAUUCAGUGAGUCAUCGAAUCUUUGAACGCACAUUGCGCCCUGUGGUAUUUCGCAGGGCAUGCCUGUUCGAGCGUCAUUUCAACCCUCAAGCUCUGCUUGGUGUUGGGCCCUGCCCGCUGCGGCCGGCCCUAAAGACAGUGGCGGUGCCGCCUGGCCCUGAGCGUAGUACAUCUCUCGCUCCAGUGCCCGGUGGUAGCCUGCCAGAACCCCAACUCUCGUGGUUGACCUCGGAUCAGGUAGGGAUACCCGCUGAACUUAAGCAUAUCAAUAAGCGGAGGA